GGAGCCGGAGCGCGAUCUUCGGCUGGAGGCGGUGUCGUGGUGCACUGUGACCGAUUGCCCCGGGGGCACCUGACUGCCCGUUUCCUGCGCCUCCGCAACGUCAGCUGCGAAUGAGUCUCCCAGAGGACGCCCGGAGGAUCCGAAACCUCAGCGCAGUCGUGGCGCGGGCAGUGCCCUGCGCUUCUCCCCAGAGUCUGGCUGGGAUGGGCCCGAGGCCCCCGGUUACCGCCGCGGGCGCGUCUGCGUCCUGACUUGGAGGGACCCGCGGGCUGGGCCGUACCAGCAGCUAAACAAGCACUAGCCUCAAGAUAAGCAGCAUUGAAACCGCAGCUCCUCCACCAGCCGACCCUGGCCCCGCACCCCUGCUCCGCCCGCCGACCCUGGCACCGCACCCCCUGCUCCGCCAGCCAUAACUAGAGCUUUCCUUGGAUAAGAGACUCAUUUCAGUAACUUUUCCCUGAUAAGAGACCCUGACCAUAGACAGGUUCUGGCUGGUUUACAGAGAUUGCGCCCUCAUAUGCCUUCAUGUCCUGAAAAGACCUUUUGAGGUGUACGACCUAAUUGUAAUACAUUUACAUGUUGCCUCCACCCCAAGGUGAACGUGGGUCAUAUGUAACAUACAUGUUUAUCCAGCACACGUGUCCAAAUAAACAUGCAUGCAUAUUCACAA